GGUGAGGUGGGUGAGAGGCCGAAACCAACAGUUUGCUAAACUGUCGUACGAGUCAAAUCGUACCGAGGGUUCGAAUCCCUCCCUCACCGCCA
rnacentral:tRNA from 2 species